GCUUUGUCCUUCUGAGGUGAUUCCUUACUGGCAUGGUGGUCCUCCUGGCUCCCAUUCUGGGAUGUCCCAAGUCAGCAGUUCUGUCUCUUGCUUGCGUCAGGCUGGUUCUCAGCUGCUUCGCUAUGUGGGGGUCUGCUUGCUGUACAGACACCCACACGUCCCUGUCCUCUCUUUCAGCCCCCUCUCCCUUGGACAAUCAGCACUUCCUCUUCUUGGAACAAUAGCACUUCCUCUGCCUCAGGACAAGGUUUUAAAGCAGCCAUACUGUCUAAAUCUGAAGGGGUUACAUAGGUUUUAUACUGCUUACCAGCAGAGAUAGCAUUAUUCAUUUUCCCAAAGGACAAGGUGAAGAGUCACCUGGGGUGAAGGCACCAGGUGUCAGAAAAAGAACCCAAGACCCAACCCUGGUCAUUAAAUGCAAAGCCGCUGUUGCCUGGGAGCCUAAGAAACCAUUUUCCAUUGAGGAGGUGGAAGUUGCCCCCCCAAAGGCACAUGAAGUUCGCAUUAAGAUUUUGGCUACAGGGAUCUGUCGCUCAGAUGACUAUGUCAUGAGUGGUGCAUUAACUGUGGCUUUUCCAAUAAUUCUUGGCCACGAAGCAGCUGGUAUUGUAGAGAGCGUUGGAGAAGGGGUGACUUGUGUGAAACCAGGUAUAAGAAAGCAUCAAGCACUAACCAAUGAUAAGUAGUUCUCACCUAGCAUUCACAUACCCUGCUCCAAUAUCAAAGACACUAACAUGUAUGAACUCCUUUAUUGCAGAGGAAACAAGUAAUCCAACAUUCAACCUUCACAGGGCCUUGUCAAGGAUAUUUUGGAGGAGAAAUAUGUUGUUUAAGUCUUUCUUGCUAUACUCCCAAGUGAUCUUUCCUAUUUCAAAAGUUUUUGCCUGUUCACUUCUAUUUUUAUGUGACUAUGAAGUGCUCUCCCCUUCCCCAGCAUUCAAAAGAGGUGCUUAUUUGUAUUUCACUCAAAGGGAACCAAAUGUGAGCUACCAUUUUGAGUUCAGACCCUCGUAAGGGUUUCCGUUCAGCAAGGAAUUUUAACGUGCCUAGCUUUGUGCAUAUAAAUAGUCCUAUUUAUUUCAAUGUGACUCCUUUAUUAGUCAGGUGCUUAGAUACCUUGCUAAAUCAGGGCUCAAGUUAUCAGACUUUGAUAGCACUGAAAUUCACACUUUAUUUCACACUUGCUUUCUGUGCUAGUGUCACUUGAAUACUAUCUUAAUUCAUGUACUUAAUUCAUCUGCCAGACAAAAGAUUUUGUUCCUGUGCCUAUUCUCUCAGAGAACACUGCAAGAUGGGACACCGCCUGUACUCUUUUCCCAGUAACUCUGAACUAUGAGGAGAGCUGCGCAGAGUGUUUAAGAUGAAAUAUUAAAUGAACCAAAUCGGUAUUUGAAUCUUGAACUGAAUCCAAACCAUUUUUUAAAGAUUAAAAUAUUUACUUA